rnacentral:tRNA from 1 species
UAACUCAGUUGGUAGAGUGUUUGCCUAGCAUGCACAAGGCCCUGGGUUUAAUCCCCAG